GACGAACGCUGGCGGCGUGCUUAACACAUGCAAGUCGAACGGAAAGGCCCUGCUUUUGUGGGGUGCUCGAGUGGCGAACGGGUGAGUAACACGUGAGUAACCUGCCCUUGACUUUGGGAUAACUUCAGGAAACUGGGGCUAAUACCGGAUAGGAGCUCCUGCUGCAUGGUGGGGGUUGGAAAGUUUCGGCGGUUGGGGAUGGACUCGCGGCUUAUCAGCUUGUUGGUGGGGUAGUGGCUUACCAAGGCUUUGACGGGUAGCCGGCCUGAGAGGGUGACCGGCCAGAUUGGGACUGAGAUACGGCCCAGACUCCUACGGGAGGCAGCAGUGGGGAAUAUGGCACAAGGGGCGGAAGCCUGAUGCAGCAACGCCGCGUGCGGGAUGACGGCCUUCGGGUUGUAAACCGCUUUCGCCGGUGACGAAGCGUGAGUGACGGUAAUGGGUAAAGAAGCACCGGCUAACUACGUG
rnacentral:rRNA from 1 species